rnacentral:rRNA from 1 species
GAUUCAUCGGCUGCGGAUGGCCAUGCGGCGCAUUAGCUAGUCGGCGGGGUAACGGCCCACCGAGGCGACGAUGCGUAGGGGUUCUGAGAGGAAGGUCCCCCACACUGGUACUGAGACACGGACCAGACUCCUACGGGAGGCAGCAGUGAGGAAUAUUGGUCAAUGGCCGGGAGGCUGAACCAGCCAAGUCGCGUGAGGGAAGACGGCCCUACGGGUUGUAAACCUCUUUUGUCAGGGAGCAAGAGGCGGGUCGAGACCUGCUGUGAGAGUACCUGAAGAAAAAGCAUCGGCUAACUCCGUGCCAGCAGCCGCGGUAAUACGGAGGAUGCGAGCGUUAUCCGGAUUUAUUGGGUUUAAAGGGUGCGCAGGCGGAGGCACAAGUCAGCGGUAAAAUCGCGGGGCUCAACCCCGCUCCGCCGUUGAAACUGUGUCCCUUGAGUGCGCGAAGGGUAGGCGGAAUGCGUGGUGUAGCGGUGAAAUGCAUAGAUAUCACGCAGAACUCCGAUCGCGAAGGCAGCCUACCGGCGCGCAACUGACGCUCAUGCACGAAAGCGUGGGUAUCGAACAGGAUUAGAUACCCUGGUAGUCCACGCAGUAAACGAUGAAUGCUAUCUGUCCGGCCGGAAUGACGGCUGG